AUGAGUUUUGCCUUAUCUGCUUGUUUUGCCAGGUUGUUUCCAACCGUAUUAUCUACUAUUGUGGCAAUAAACACGAGUCAAGAGUUGAAUAAAAAGAAUUCUUUUUAUCAUCAUCAUCACCAUCAUCCUCAAUCACUGUCAUCACCAUACCACAAGGCAGAGCAAGUCCCUACAGAGCAGGCUGCCCUCAGUGAUGAUGAGUUUUGUAUCUCCCAGAACAUCCCACCUCUUAAAUGUCUAGCAUCUUACAACCACAGUUGCUAACAGUAUGAGUUCUACAGUUAUACAGAACUAAGUCCGUUAGCUAUGUGACCCAUGGCCAAAUAUUUUCCUUCUCUGUGCCUGCAUUUCUUCAUCUGUAAACUGGAAUAAUGAUAGCAACUACUUCAGAGGACCACGUAUUAAAUGAGGUAAUCCUUGUGAUGAGAGUCUCAGAAUGCCUUGCAUAUUAUAAAUUCUUAACAGGUGUUGGCUUCAUCAUUAUUUUGUUAUUUUAUUAUAUAUAUUUUAACAGCUUUAUUGAGAUAUAAUUGAUAUACAAAGAACUGCACAUAUUCAACGUGUAUAAUUUGAUGAAUUUGUACAUAGGCAAACACCCAUACAACCAUCCCCACUCAGGGUAAUAGACGUAUGCAACUUCUCCAAGUUUUUUGUGUGUCCCUUUGUUUUUGUUUUGUUUUGUUUUCUUGGGAAGAACACUUAACAUGGAAAUCUACCUUCUUAACAUAUGAUCCAGCAAUACCACCUCUGGGUAUAUAUUCAAAGGGAUUGAAAUCAGGAUCUCAAAAAGACAUCUUCACUCCCGAGUUCGUUGUAAAAUUAGUCACGAUAGCCACGAUAUGGAAACAACCUGUUUCCAUUGACAUAUAAAUGCAUAAAGAAAGUGUAGUAUACAAUGGAAUUAUUCAUCCUUAAAAAGAAGGAAAUCCUGCCAUUUGAGACAACAUGGAUAAACCUGAAGGACAUUAUGCUAAGAGAAAGAAGCCAUUCACAGAAGGAUAAAUGGUUUAUGAUUACACUUACAUGAGGUAUCUAUAACGGUCAAACUCAUAGAAGCAGAGAAUACAGCAGUGGUUGUCAGAGGCAAAUUAAGAGAGAGGUGAGGAGUUGUUCAAUGGUUACAAAGUUUCAAUUAUGCUACAUGAAUGAAUUCUAGAGAUCAACUCUACAGCUAAGUGCCUGUAGUUAAAAAUACUGUAUUGUGUUUAUCAUUAUUAUUUUGAAGAAAAUAUUAAAAAGUAUAUUAUGGUCACUUUAAGGUCAACAACAGAUAAACCACCAGAAUAAAGUAUCAUUUUUUUAAAAACCUCAGUAAGACUUUAAAAAUUCAUUUCUAACUAUGGAAAUCUCAUGAAAUUCAGAGGACUUUAAUGAAAUCCUAAUACAGCUGGUUGUUCUCCAUAAUUGACCAAAUAAAAUCAAAUCCUUCCUGAAAUUUGCUAGCUAGAAUAUUAUUCUAAGCUUAACUCUAUGCUGGGCAGGCCAAGUUAUCUUAGAAAUGGUUUUGUAGGAUACAAAUUUAAUAACCCAUAUAUUCAGUAAUUUGUAAGGCAAUGGGCCAAAUCUUUGGCAGGGAUUUUCUUAUUUUCCCACAGCUGAAGUUUCUGGAGAAUUGCUCUCAUAUUAGAAAAAAAAAAAAAACCACACUAAGUGGAACUGCUUAUGAAGAAUAUACUGUUUUUGUCUUUAACCACUUUGUUCAGGUAUGAUUGACACAUUUAAAAACUGUACUUAUUUUAUAUACAAUCUCUCAGUGACUUUCGAGAUAAGUAUAAACCCAUGAAAUCAUCACCACUACCAAGGCCAUAGAACAUCUGUCACCUCCCAAAGUUUCCUCCCAGCUCCUUUAUUAUCAUUAUUGGAGGUUUUGUUGUUGUUGUCGUCACUCGUUGAUACGAACAAUCAACAUAAGGUAGAUCUUUCCCUCUCAACAAAUUUUAAGUAUAAAAUGGAGUUUUGCUAGCUAUAGGCACUAUACCAUAUAGCAGAUUUCCAGAAAUUACUUAUUUUACAUAGCUGGAACUUUGUACCCUUUAACUAUCACCUCCCCAAUUCUCCUGUUUUCCUAUACCCUGGCAAUUCCCAUUCUACUCUAUCCUUCUAUGAGUUUGUUUUAGAUUCCACACAUAAGUGAAAUUGUAGAGUAUCUGUUUAUUUUGUGUCUGGAUGACUUCAUUUAACAGAAUACCCUCCAAGUCCAUCCAUGUUGUUUCAAAUGACAGGAUUUUCUUUUCUUAAAGGCAGGGUAAUAUUUCAUUGUAUGUAUAUACCACAGUUUCUUUAUCCAUUAAUCUAUCUAUGAACAUUCAAGUUGUUGCUGUAUCUUGG
rnacentral:lncRNA from 1 species